rnacentral:rRNA from 1 species
GUUUAACGCUGGCGGCGUGCUUAACNCAUGCAAGUCNAACGGUGAACACGGAGCUUGCUCUGUGGGAUCAGUGGCGAACGGGUGAGUAACACGUGAGCAACCUGCCCCUGACUCUGGGAUAAGCGCUGGAAACGGCGUCUAAUACUGGAUAUGUGACGUGAUCGCAUGGUCUGCGUCUGGAAAGAAUUUCGGUUGGGGAUGGGCUCGCGGCCUAUCAGCUUGUUGGUGAGGUAAUGGCUCACCAAGGCGUCGACGGGUAGCCGGCCUGAGAGGGUGACCGGCCACACUGGGACUGAGACACGGCCCAGACUCCUACGGGAGGCAGCAGUGGGGAAUAUUGCACAAUGGGCGCAAGCCUGAUGCAGCAACGCCGCGUGAGGGACGACGGCCUUCGGGUUGUAAACCUCUUUUAGCAGGGAAGAAGCGAAAGUGACGGUACCUGCAGAAAAAGCGCCGGCUAACUACGUGCCAGCAGCCGCGGGGUAAUA